GAUGAAGAACGUAGCGAAAUGCGAUAAGUAAUGCGAAUUGCAGAAUUUCCGUGAGUCAUCGAAUCUUUGAACGCACAUUGCGCCCACUGGUAUUCCGGCGGGCAUGCCUGUUCGAGCGUCAUUUCAACCCUCAAGCCCCCGGGUUUGGUGUUGGGGAUCGGCUCUGCCCUUCUGGGCGGUGCCGCCCCCGAAAUACAUUGGCGGUCUCGCUGCAGCCUCCAUUGCGUAGUAGCUAACACCUCGCAACUGGAACGCGGCGCGGCCAUGCCGUAAAACCCCAACUUCUGAAUGUUGACCUCGGAUCAGGUAGGAAUACCCGCUGAACUUAAGCAUAUCAAUAAGCGGAGGA
rnacentral:misc_RNA from 1 species